UGCCCAGACCUCCAGAAAUCAUGUGUCCAGCUCGGAUUGCCUUAGACAGGUGCAAUUUGAAAACAGUUUUCAUCUUCUUUUCUGUCAUGUUGGUACACUGUGGGUUCUGACUUCUGGCUCCUUUUCUCACAAGAAGCUCACCCAGCCGUCACUCUUACGGGACCUUGGCACCAGAGACCACCAAUUCCUCUUUGAAGUUUUCUAGCAGCAACAGUGAUAUUUCUGACUUGGCUUUCUUGUAUUUCUCUCACGUUAACAAAAUUGGUUGAGCAUCUACCAUGGGCUACAUAGGAGCUACAGGUGCUGUUGAUGAAACUGCUAAAGGAGCUGAAUGUGACUGACGUCUUUGGAAGGAUGAGACUUAGCAUGCCCGUACAGUUGUGUCUAAACGUUGUCCUUACCUCCCAAAGGAAAGAUGGAUAAACAGAGGCAACCCGAGGAUAAAGGCCUUUCCCAGUGUCACACAUUUCAGUCACUAAAAAAGACACAAUGGAUGCCAGUCUUCUCAUCAAAUAAACAGCCUUCAAGCUCUUGCAGUCAACAAGAACUUUUGGAAUGAUUUCACUGCCUGAAAAGGCAGAUAUAUAGAUGACAUCCACAAAUAGAAAGAAAAUCAACCUGAACCUUAGUGUCUGGCAUCACUGACUCUAAGCAGUAGAGACAGAAGCAAAGUAAAGUUUUAGUAAAGAAGGGUCUGAAAGAAAAUACAUUUAGUAUAGCUAGUUAUUAAGUGCUGUUUUCACACAGUAAACAAAGGCAAAAUUACUCUUCUUUAAGUAGUAAUUUUUAACUCUUGAUUAAAUCAUUCACUCGUUCAUUUAAUAAAUACUUACAGAUUGCCUUCUAUGUGUUGAACACUCAUCUCUGUGCUGGAAACAUAAUGAUCAUGAAAGUUGACAAUAGUAAUAACAAUAAUAGCCAAUAUAGCAGAUACUAAUAAUUAUUUGUUGAGUGAAAUGUCAAAAUUCAGUGUGAACCAGCAUUGUCUUUGGGGCUGCAUCCAUUGGCUAUAAUAUAGCUAAUCUAUCUGAAAUUUUCCAGCUUUGGGUCUCUCUAAUAGAAGAAGCUGUUGCUGGGCCUGCCUUUGGUUGGCGAUGCACACACCAAAGAGAAUGAAUUAUCAUCACUCCUCCUGUAAAGAACGCUGGAACUGAGAGCACUGCAAUUUUCUUUUACUGUGGUAGUUUUAAUCACUAGAACCAACUUUACUUCGUUUCCUACUUACCAAAACAGUAAAAACAACAUGUAACAUAAAAGAAAUGCCAUCUUAAUAUUGUUUUGAUGACAAAACAGUGUUCCUUUCAGUUGUGCUUCAAAUGGAAUAAGACAC